ACAACAUGCAAGAAAAGAUAAGUAAUAUCAGCAGAGAGGUGGAAACUAUACGAAAUAAUCAAGAAGAAAUGAUACAGAGUAAAGACAUUGUAUCAGGAAUAAAGAAUGGUUUUGAUGGGCUCAUUAGUAAACUGGAUGUGGCUGAGGAAUGAGUCUCUGAACUUGAAUAUAUGGUAAUAGAAACUUUUAAAAUUGAAAAACAAAAAGAAACCAUAGUGAAAAACAAAACACAACAGGCUAACCAAGAACUAUGGGAAACUACAAAAGAGAUAGCAUACAAAUAAUAGGAAUACCAGAAAAAGAGAAAGGAACAGAAGAAAUAUCUGAAGCAAUGACUGAGAAUUUCGCCCAAAUUAGUGUCAGACAUCAAACCACAGAUGCUGGAAGCUCAGAGAACAGAAAGCAGGAUAAAAUACCAAAAAUCACUAUACCAAGGCAGAUUAUAUCCAAAUUUCAAAAGUACAGAAGAUCAUGAAAAAAAAUCUUGAAAGGAGUCAGAGGGAAAAACACUUUACAGAGAAGCAGAUACAAGAAUUAUACCUGAGUUCUUUAUAGAAAGUAUGUGAUAUGGUUUGGUUCUGUGUCCCCACCCAGUCUCGCCUUGGAUUGUAAUCCCCAUAAUCCCUAUGUGUCAAGGGCAGGAUCGAGUGGAGGUAAUUGGAUCAUGGGUGUGGUUUUCCCCAUGCUGUUCUAAUGAUAGUGAGUUCUCAAAAGAUCUGAUCGUUUUAUAAGUGUACUCACUCUGUCUUGCUGCCCUGUGUAGAAGGUGCCUGCUUCUCCUUUGCCUUUUGCCAUGAUUGUAAGUUUCCUGAAGCCUCCCCAGCAAUGCCAAACUGCUCCACUAGUAGAGAGCAGAGAAGGGGAAAAGAGGAGAAGCAGCUGGACGUCGGAGACUGUGGCUUGACAUUGGAGAGAAGCAGCUUGACCUCAGAGGGACAGCUUGACGGCGAGACUUCGGAGAAGAGUAUGACCGGAGAUGGCUGGACUUCAGGGGACGAAUACCUUCCCACUCCAUCUCCUUUACAGCUUCCCAUCCCGCUGAGAACCACUUCCAUCAGCAAUAAAAUCCCCCCGGCAUUUAUUAUCCUUCAUGUGACCUGACUUUUCCUGGACACCAGACAAGAGCUCGGGAUACAGAAAGCUGUCACACUGACCCUCUACCCUCGCUAAAAGGCAGAGGGUCCGCUGAGCUGUUGAACACUUAAGCCAUCUAUGGACAGCAAAACUAAAAGAACACUGUAACACAUGCGCUCUGAGGCGUCGGGGGUCACAGGCACCUCCCUAGAGGGGGGCAGCGCAGAGUUUUACUCCUGCCAGCACCCAAAAGUGUUCGCUCCAGCUCCUGCACCCAUUCACUUGCAUGCUCCCCCUCCCGUGAGGGGUUGAGAGCUGCAAGCAGAGUAAGCGAGGCAUCCCUGUCGUGAGUCCCAUGAAAGGGGACAAGGAAAAUUUCCUGUUUCAUCAUGACAUAUACCAGCAAGUUUCAUCAGCAAAAGGAAUUAAAAAACGAAAUAAGUACUGUAUCUUCCAGAUAUUGUCAUAUAAGGAAAAAGUGUAAGUAUUAUAAAUGUAAGAAAACAGAUGGUCAAUUAAAUUUUUUAAAACCGUAAGGUAGAAUGAAAUGUACAAUAAAGAUAUUUCAGUCAACGGGAGGCAGAAUGUUUAAGGUGUAGCUAUGCAAAUCCUCUCAUCUUUUAGUUGUAGAUAAAUGUUUUAUAUAUGAUAAAAUAUUAAACGUCAUGAGCAUCUUGACUAAAUGAUGAUAGACCUAAUUCUUGCUUGGUUAUUUAGCCAAUAACAUAUUGAUGUUGAUGGUUUCAGCUAUUAACUGCACCAAGCAAAAAAUCUUGCUUCUUUUUAACCUGCAGCACUAAAAGCUAAAAUGUAUUUCAUAAGUGACUUCUGCCUUGAUUAUCAUCAUUAACAUAUAAAAGGGUA
rnacentral:lncRNA from 1 species